rnacentral:rRNA from 1 species
AAGGCUGAAAUUCGCCUUCCAUGAAGCCGGAAUUGCUAGUAAUGGCAGGUCAGCAUACUGCCGUGAAUACGUUCCCGGGCCUUGUACACACCGCCCGUCACACCAUGAGAGUUGGGAAUACCCGAAGCCUGUGAGCUAACUAUUAAAGAGGCAGCAGUCGAAGGUAGAAUCAAUGAUUGGGGUGAAGUCGUAACAAGGUAUC